CAGCCGCCACGGUAAUACGGAGGGAGCUAGCGUUGUCCGGAAUUACUGGGCGUAAAGCGCACGUAGGCGGCUUUGUAAGUUAGAGGUGAAAGCCUGGAGCUCAACUCCAGAACUGCCUUUAAGACUGCAUCGCUUGAAUCCAGGAGAGGUGAGUGGAAUUCCGAGUGUAGAGGUGAAAUUCGUAGAUAUUCGGAAGAACACCAGUGGCGAAGGCGGCUCACUGGACUGGUAUUGACGCUGAGGAGCGAAAGCGUGGGGAGCGAACAGGAUUAGAGACCCCCGUAGUCCCUGUCUCUUAUAC
rnacentral:rRNA from 1 species